GUACCCUGGUAGUCUACGCUGUAAACGAUGUCGACUUGGAGGUUGUGCCCUUGAGGCGUGGCUUCCGGAGCUAACGCGUUAAGUCGACCGCCUGGGGAGUACGGCCGCAAGGUUAAAACUCAAAUGAAUUGACGGGGGCCCGCACAAGCGGUGGAGCAUGUGGUUUAAUUCGAUGCAACGCGAAGAACCUUACCUACUCUUGACAUCCACGGAAUUCGCCAGAGAUGGCUUAGUGCCUUCGGGAACCGUGAGACAGGUGCUGCAUGGCUGUCGUCAGCUCGUGUUGUGAAAUGUUGGGUUAAGUCCCGCAACGAGCGCAACCCUUAUCCUUUGUUGCCAGCACGUAAUGGUGGGAACUCAAAGGAGACUGCCGGUGAUAAACCGGAGGAAGGUGGGGAUGACGUCAAGUCAUCAUGGCCCUUACGAGUAGGGCUACACACGUGCUACAAUGGCAUAUACAAAGAGAAGCGAACUCGCGAGAGCAAGCGGACCUCAUAAAGUAUGUCGUAGUCCGGAUUGGAGUCUGCAACUCGACUCCAUGAAGUCGGAAUCGCUAGUAAUCGUAGAUCAGAAUGCUACGGUGAAUACGUUCCCGGGCCUUGUACACACCGCCCGUCACACCAUGGGAGUGGGUUGCAAAAGAAGUAGGUAGCUUAACCUUCU
rnacentral:rRNA from 1 species